AAGAGCCCCUGCAUAUCCCAAUCCAACCAGCCAUCACUAACACUCUUGCCAGGCUGACAAGGCAGCCUUUUUCCCCCUGAGCACAACUCUAAUUAACAGCGGUGGAUGUAGAGAGGCCAGGCAAUGUGGAGCUACUAAGAGGGCCUGGGGCACUGGGCAGACUCACUGUCACCUCGGCUUAAGUGCUGGGUCUUGGGCAGCCAUCUCCUCUCAUCAGAUGCUUUCAGGAAAUGGGUUUGUGGUCAGCAAAAAUAAGCAAGAGCACAAAAGAAACCACCGCCAGUCCUCAGGCGCUGACUGCGAGGUAGAGCGUCAGAGAGGGAGAGACUGAAAGAGAAAGAAAGACUUGGAGCCAAGUAUGAGCAGUAUCCACUGACCUGACAGUGGUAUGAGCUGUAUUCUGCAUUGCCUGAUGUGUUUAUUAAGGGGGGAAUCAUGUCAUAUUUCAAAGUCAAACACACUGAAAAAAUUGGUGUAAAAAGUUUCACUUAGAAAUU
ensembl:lncRNA